CGCAGUGUCACCGGCAGGGUUAAGGUACUCGGCUCAUAACCGAGGAUAUGCGGGUUCAAAUCCCGCCACUGCCA
rnacentral:tRNA from 5 species